rnacentral:rRNA from 1 species
UACGGAGGGCGCAAGCGUUGUUCGGAAUCACUGGGCGUAAAGCGCGUGUAGGCGGCUCGGCAAGUCGGGUGUGAAAUCCCGAGGCUCAACCUCGGAACUGCACUCGAAACUGCCGGGCUCGAGUCCCGGAGAGGGUGGCGGAAUUCCCGGUGUAGGGGUGAAAUCCGUAGAUAUCGGGGGGAACACCAGUGGCGAAGGCGGCCACCUGGACGGUGACUGACGCUGAGACGCGAAGGCGUGGGGAGCAAACAGG